rnacentral:lncRNA from 1 species
AUGAUUUCAUGCAACCGUUGUAUAGUAAUAUGAUGCAACAACCUUAAAAAACUAUCUUAUGGCCAUUUGUUUGAUCCAAAUUUUGAAAUAUACACUCUUUUCAUUUUAAGAACAAUCACAAAAAAAGAAAAAAAUUGAAAACACAACUUAGAAAGUAUUUUUUUAGCCCAAUUAACAUAGGCCGUUCAUUUUGGUGAGAUGCUUAGAUCUAGGCCUUAG